CACGUAGGGGCCAAGCGUUGUCCGGAUUUAUUGGGCGUAAAGAGCUCGUAGGCGGUUCGUCGCGUCGGCUGUGAAAACCCGGAGCUCAACUCCGGGCCUGCAGUCGAUACGGGCGGACUUGAGUGUUGCAGGGGAGACUGGAAUUCCUGGUGUAGCGGUGAAAUGGGUAGAUAUCAGGAGGAACACCCAUGGGCGAAGGCAGCUCACUGGCCAUUAUCUGACGCUGAGGCGACGAAAGCGUGGUAGCAACAGG
rnacentral:rRNA from 1 species